GAUGAACGCUAGCGGCAGGCCUAACACAUGCAAGUCGAGGGGCAUCACGGAUUGCUUGCAAUCUGGUGGCGACCGGCGCACGGGUGCGUAACGCGUAUACAACCUACCUUUUGGAGGGGAAUAGCCCAGAGAAAUUUGGAUUAAUACCCCAUAGUAUAUAGGAAUCUCCUGAUUUUUUAUAUUUAAACAUUUAUGGCCAUUAGAUGGGUAUGCGUCCUAUUAGCUAGUUGGUGUGGUAACGGCACACCAAGGCUACGAUAGGUAGGGGUCCUGAGAGGGAGAUCCCCACACUGGUACUGAGACACGGACCAGACUCCUACGGGAGGCAGCAGUGAGGAAUAUUGGACAAUGGGCGAGAGCCUGAUCCAGCCAUGCCGCGUGCAGGAAGACUGCCCUAUGGGUUGUAAACUGCUUUUACAGAGGAAGAACCACCCCCACGUGUGGGGGUUUGACGGUACUCUGCGAAUAAGGAUCGGCUAACUCCGUG
rnacentral:rRNA from 1 species